rnacentral:rRNA from 1 species
GACGAACGCUGGCGGCGUGCUUAACACAUGCAAGUCGAACGGUAAGGCCCUUCGGGGUACACGAGUGGCGAACGGGUGAGUAACACGUGGGUGAUCUGCCCUGCACUUCGGGAUAAGCCUGGGAAACUGGGUCUAAUACCGGAUAGGACUCCUGGCUUCAUGGUUGGGGGUGGAAAGCUUUUGCGGUGUGGGAUGGGCCCGCGGCCUAUCAGCUUGUUGGUGGGGUAAUGGCCUACCAAGGCGACGACGGGUAGCCGGCCUGAGAGGGUGACCGGCCAGACGGGGACUGAGAGACAGCCCAGACUCCUACGGGAGGCAGCAGGGGGGAAUAUUGCACAAUGGGCGCAAGCCUGAUGCAGCGACGCCGCGUGAGGGAUGACGGCCUUCGGGUUGUAAACCUCUUUCAGCACCGACGAAGCGCAAGUGACGGUAGGUGCAGAAGAAGGACCGGCCAACUACGUGCCAGCAGCCGCGGUAA